AUUGAACGCUGGCGGCAUGCCUUACACAUGCAAGUCGAACGGUAGAGGGGCAACCCUCGAGAGUGGCGAACGGGUGAGUAAUGCAUCGGAACGUGCCCAGUCGUGGGGGAUAACGUAGCGAAAGCUACGCUAAUACCGCAUACGACCUGAGGGUGAAAGCGGGGGACCUGCAAGGGCCUCGCGCGAUUGGAGCGGCCGAUGUCAGAUUAGGUAGUUGGUGGGGUAAAGGCCUACCAAGCCGACGAUCUGUAGCUGGUCUGAGAGGACGACCAGCCGCACUGGGACUGGGACACGGCCCAGACUCCUACGGGAGGCAGCAGUGGGGAAUUUUGGACAAUGGGCGCAAGCCUGAUCCCGCCAUGCCGCGUGCGGGAAGAAGGCCUUCGGGUUGUAAACCGCUUUUGUCAGGGAAGAAAUCUUCUGGGUUAAUACCUCGGGAGGAUGACGGUACCUGAAGAAUAAGCACCGGCUAACUACGUGCCAGCAGCCGCGGUAAGAC
rnacentral:rRNA from 1 species